rnacentral:rRNA from 1 species
UACGUAGGUGGCAAGCGAUACUCGGAAUCACUAGGCGUAAAGCGCAGGUAGGCGGUUUGGUAAGUCUUUUGUGAAAGCUCCUGGCUCAACUGGGAGAGGUCAAGGGAAACUACCGGACUAGAGUGUGGUAGGGGAUACUGGAAUUCCUGGUGUAGCGGUGAAAUGCGCAGAUAUCAGGAGGAACACCGGUGGCGAAGGCGGGUCUCUGGGCCGGUACUGACGCUGAGGAGCGAAAGCGUGGGGAGCAAACAGG